rnacentral:tmRNA from 1 species
GGGGACGAUUUUGGUUUCGACGGGGAUUAAAACAAAAUAUACAAAGCAUGUGGUGGUCGCCCAUACACCUUAAACAUGAGCAAGCGAAAUAAACGCAAACAAUAAUAACAAUGUUGUUGCUAUGGCUGCGUAGUUAGUCAUCUCAAUAACGACUUGAUUGAAAUUUUCAAUCUGCUCUCCUUUGACUUUGCCAGUUGAAGACCAGAGUAUCAUCUUAGGCAAAAAUUUUGUGACAAGUUGUCCUUGUAGUCGCAAAAAAUUUUAAGGAAUUGUUUUCAAAACCUGUUUAUGGGUGACUUGAAAAUGAAAUUUAAACAUAAACUAAACAUGUAGAAAAAUAUUCUGUUUUGUUUUCGGACGAGGGUUCAAUUCCCUCCGUCUCCACCA